rnacentral:tRNA from 1 species
GCAUUUAUAGCUCAGAUGGUAGAGCGACCUCUUGAUAAGGGGUAGGCCGCAAGUUCGAGUCUUGCUGAAUGCACCA